GGAGAGGUGCCGGAGCGGUCGAACGGGGCGGUCUCGAAAACCGUUGAGGGUGCAAGCCCUCCGUGGGUUCGAAUCCCACCCUCUCCGCCA
rnacentral:tRNA from 1 species